AAUUCCGCCAUUGUGUUUUUUGAAGUUUAAGCGUCAUUAGUUCUUGUGGUCGAGAGAAGCGUUGAAUAUAGUGAUUGACAGGUGUAUCACAUUAUCAAGAAGCGUGUGUUGUAGCUGUAAAAAAGAGGAGACUACAUCGCAGCAUCCAAACCUCAACGUUCAACGACUUCUGCUUGGAAACGGAAGCACGGACACGGACACGGACGUGAGCCAAGUGGCUAUUAGGAGCAUCAAGCGGAGAAAUUAAAGAAGUUAAGGUACGACGCCAUUGUGAUCAUUAAUAUCAAUAUGCAUUAACACAGUUA